UCCUUGUAGCUCAGCUGGUAAAGAAUUUGCCUGCAAAGCAGGAGACGCUGGUUCGAUUCCCGCAUUGGGAA
rnacentral:tRNA from 1 species